AUGGGUCAGAUGAUGAUUAAAAGCAUAGUUCAAAUGAUAUUUUUUGUGAUUAUAAAACAAUCUUUAUAGUCUUUCGCUCCUAUCUGAUGACUCUU